UUUUCGACCCGGUCAUCAUUGUAUGGGCCAUAUUUAUUCCCCCGUCCGAAAGCUUACGACUAUCCAUCCCCGACCUAAUUACUGUAUCCUUUCGGACACAGACGUGAGACCGAUACUGGCUGAUCUCCAGCGAUUUGCAAAUGAUUGAUGAUCACAUUUUUUCGGCCAAAACAAAACGAAAAUAAAAUGGCCUCAACAUAAUUUCCUCGUCACAAAAUUAAACACUUCCAACGCUGCUGCAUAUUUGUUGACUCUUGAGGCCCAGGUUCUGGCUCGUCAAACGCUCACCCUCAAAACACAAGGGGAGUGCUGUCCUUACAUGACGGAGAGAAGGACUAGAGUUGCAGCUGAGAUUGCUGCAUUCCCUGUCCUUGGGCUGUGAGCAGGCGUGGAGCAAGAUGUACAACAGCAAAGGGAAAUAAGAGACGAAAUGCCAGUCUCCCCGCCAUGGUCUCCUGCCUCGGUGCUGGGCGAUGAUUGUACGGGCCUAACCUGAGAUGCUGUAAUUAUCCGCGUUUAAAAGGGAACCGCGCGUUGGAAAAGGGCUAUGGUCUGGACUGCUAGACACAGCAGCCAAACACACACACACAAAAAAACCGACACAGAGGUAAGAACCUGAAGGUAGUGGAUUAAAUGAGGGAUGACAAGAGUUUGCCCUUCAAAGCAAUCAGUUUGUAACCGAACCCCUUCCCGUAAGCAGAUGUUUCAACGACGCCUGUUAUCCGACAGCGAAGACUGAGUGACAUUUUCGUGAUGGAAAAUUACUAUCUUCCCAAACUCCAGGAGUUGAUGGCUUCAAACAGUUCCAAACAGAUUGAUUACCCACCCGCAAAACGUUCCAAAACAUGGCAACAGCAAUUGGAAGAGCAGGAGAGACUGCAGGUCUGUAAUACGAGGGGAAGAAAGUUGGAACCUUCAGCAUCACUCUCCAUAACUCCAGGCUCCAGCAUGAGUGCUGCCUCCAGGCUGAAGACUCUUAAGUGAAAGACGGCGUUGCUACAAGUGGGAAUGAUUACUGCUCAGGAAAC